rnacentral:rRNA from 1 species
GAUGAACGCUGGCGGCGUGCUUAACACAUGCAAGUCGAACGGAAAGGCCCAAGCUUGCUUGGGUACUCGAGUGGCGAACGGGUGAGUAACACGUGGGUGAUCUGCCCUGCACUUCGGGAUAAGCCUGGGAAACUGGGUCUAAUACCGGAUAGGACCACUUCUUGGAUGUUGUGGUGGAAAGUUUUUUCGGUGUGUGAUGAGCUCGCGGCCUAUCAGCUUGUUGGUGGGGUAAUGGCCUACCAAGGCGUCGACGGGUAGCCGGCCUGAGAGGGUGUACGGCCACAUUGGGACUGAGAUACGGCCCAGACUCCUACGGGAGGCAGCAGUGGGGAAUAUUGCACAAUGGGCGCAAGCCUGAUGCAGCGACGCCGCGUGGGGGAUGACGGCCUUCGGGCUGUAAACUCCUUUCGCUAGGGACGAAGCGUUUUGUGACGGUACCUGGAGAAGAAGCACCGGCUAACUACGUG